CACGCAGCGCCGACCACUGACACGCACAGCCGCCCACAGGGGCUCAGGGACCCAGGUGGACAACGCGACCUCCCAGUGUGACUCAGUCCCAAGACGCCGCCCGGUGGCCGCAGGACUUCCCUGCGACGUCACGGGUCUUCUUGAAGGCUUGGUAAUUUUUCCAAACAGGACGUUACUGCAACGCUCCAAUUUCUGAGGUUUUUACGUUUUUAAGGCUUGGGAUUUCUUUUUGGUUUUUCGAGACAGGGUUUCUCUGUGUAGCCCUGGCUGUCCUGGAGCUCAGGCUGUAGACCAGGCUGGCCUCCAACUCAGCAAUCCCCCUGCCUCUGACUCCCGAGGGCUGGGAUAGAAGGCGUGCGGGCGCCACGACGCCCGGCCGGGAUAUCUAUUUUGUAAUUUUUUUCUUUUGGUUUUUUAGAGACAGGGUUUUUUGUUUUGAAUUUUUGAAAUCAGCUCGGUUCUCUGCAUCUGUCUGUCCCCCUGUCCUGGUUCUCCCUGCUUCCUGCUUCCUUUUUCUCACCUGGGACCAAGCCCGAGUCUGCAUGCGAACGAGACUCACCAUCCCGGCUUCCGUGUGUCUCGCUGUCCCCGGGUUUCUGUCUGUCUCUCUGUCCCCGCCCUUCUCCUUCCUUCUUCCACUUUCUUCCACCCGGGGACCAAGCCCGAGUCCGUGGCCCCCGCAGCUCAGGUCUCUGUCAUCUCUCUGUCCCCCAUCUCCCUACCUUCUCUGCCUCAUGGGGACAAAUCUGGGACCCGAAUCCCAGCCCGGGCUCCCCAGGAGGGGUGUGGCUUCCUCAGUGGGGUCCCCGGGCAGGCAGCGUCUCAGGUCCCUGUCCCCUGCUCCCUUUGCGCCUGUAGAAGUGUAGGGAGAUGAGCCUCUCUCUGACUCUUUGAAUUGAUUUCUGUUUUGUCUCUGGUGCUCCACCAUUUAAAUGAGGCGCUCAGGUAACUCACAGAGACUUUAACCAGGACCCAGGGAGCUCGCACAGAUUUGCAUAAUGAGGCACACAGAGAUGCAAAUUUGCAGAAACUUUAAAAUGCAACGCUCAGAUUUGCACACUGAGGCGCUCAGAUGCUCUGGCGCCACCCAGUGGCCACAGGACGUCACUGCAACCUUGCGAUUGUUUAUUGUUGGUUUUCUUCAAGACGAGGUAUUUUUCUUUUCUCUAAUUAUCUUCACUUCUUAUUAUCUUUAAUUUUGUGGAGGUUAAACGUUUAUUUAUCUGCCUGUUUCUUUCUUUUUGGAUUUUAAUUUUUGGAUCUUCAGAGACUUGCUUUCUCCAGGCUUAACCCUGAGACACCCGUGCUCGCGAGACUUGGUUUAGUCCUCAAUUAUUCUUAUUUUAGUUGAGUUUUUAUUUUUAGUUUCUUUUUAGGUUUUUAGAGAAAGGGUUUCUCUAAGCUCGCUCUGUAGAGCAGGCUGGCCUCGGACUCAGAGAUGCACCUGGCUCUGUCUCUGGAGGGUAGGUAGGGAUUAGAGGCCUGGUGGCUUUGGGACAGACUUGGUUUCUCUCAGGAAUUUUUGUGAAAUUGUUUCUUGAAUUUUUAGAAAGGAAACAUCUUUGAAUUGAUUUCUGUUUUGUGUCUGGGCUUCACACUGAGAGGGUUGCUCUGGUGCUCCACCAUUUAAAUGAGGCGCUCAGGUAACUCACAGAGAUUUUAACCAGGACCCAGGAAACUCGCACAGAUUUGCAUAAUGAGGCACACAGAGAUGCAAAUUUGUAGAAACUUUAAAAUUCCACUCUCAGAUUUGCACACUGAGGCGCUCAGAUGCUCUGGCGCCACCCAGUGGCCAGAGGACGUCAGUGCAACCUUGCCAUUGUUUAUUGUUGGUUUUAUUCAAGACGAGGUAUUUUUCUUUACUCUAAUUAUCUUCACUUCUAAUUAUCUUUACUUAACAGAGAGACAGUCAGAGAAACAGGUUUAAAUUAGGGUGCAGAGAAACUCGUGCAGGUUUAAAUUAGAACCCGCAAAGCUCGAGGAGAUAGAAUGUCACUGAGAUAUUUGAGAUUUUUUUGAAGAUUUGGCAUUUAUUUUUCUUUUCAGUUUUAAAUUAAUUUUAAUUUUAAUUUUUGUAUUUUUGACUGUUGAAUAUUUUUAUUUUGUAAUUUUUUAAUAAGCAUUCCAAUUUUGGGGGGUUUUGUCAAUAUCAAUGCUUUAUAUUUUUUUCUACUUAUUUGUUUUUAAUUUUAUCUUUAUAAAUCUUUAAAAUUUUUAUUAUUUGGUUUUUAGACACAGGGUUUCUCGGUGUAGCCCUGGCUGUCCCGCAAUGUGCUCUGGAGACCAGGCUGACCUCGGAUUCUGAGAUCUGCCUGCGUCUGUGUCCCCAGGGCUGGGAUGGAAGGCGUGGGACAUCACGCCCGGAUUUUUACCAGGGGAACUUGUAGGUUUAAAUCAGCACCUUGGAAACUCGUGCAGGUUUAAAUUAGGAAUCAGGGAAUCUGUGCAGGUUUAAAUUAGGAAUCAGGGAAUCUGUGCAGGUUUAAAUUAGGAAUCAGGGAAUCUGUGCAGGUUUAAAUUAGGAAUCAGGGAAUCUGUGCAGGUUUAAAUUAGGAAUCAGGGAAUCUGUGCAGGUUUAAAUUAGAACCCGCGAAACUCGUGGACAUUUGAGAUUUUUUUUCGAAGAUUUGGCAUAUUUUUUCCUUUUCUGAUUAGUUUUCACUUUUAAUUUAUUGGAGGUUAAACAUUGAUUCACCUGCCUGUUUCUUUCUUUUUGGAUUUUAAUUUUUGGAUCUUCGCAGACUUGCUUUCUUGCUGCUUAAGCCCCGAGACACCCGUGCUCGCGAGACUUGUUUUUUUCCCCAAUUAUUCUUAUUUUAGUUUAGUUUUUACUUUUAGUUUCUUUUUAGGUUUUUAGAGAAAGGGUUUCUCUAAGCUCGCUCUGUAGAGCAGGCUGGCCUGGGACUCAGAGAUCCACCUGGCUCUGUCCCUCUCUCGAGGGCAGGGACCAGAGGCCUGGUGACUGUGAUCUCCUGUUGUUGUGGAAUUGCUCUGGCUAGGACUUCAAGUACUAUGUUGAAGAGGUAGGGAGAGAGUGGGCAGCCGUGUCUCGUCCCUGAUUUUAGUGGGAUUGCUUCCAGCUUCUCUCCAUUUACUUUGAUGUUGGCUCCUGGUUUGCUGUAGAUUGCUAUUAUCAUGGUUAGGUGUGGGCCUCGAAUUCCUGAUCUUUCCAAGACUUUUAUCAUGAAUGGGUGUUGGAUCUUGUCAAAUGCUUUUUUUACCGGAUUUUUACCAGGGGAACUUGUAGGUUUAAAUCAGCACCUUGGAAACUCAUGCAGGUUUCUGUCUGUCUCUCUGUCCCCGCCCUUCUCCUUCCUUCUUCCACUUUCUUCCACCCGGGGACCAAGCCCGAGUCCGUGGCCCCCGCAGCUCGGGUCUCUGUCAUCUCUCUGUCCCCCGCCUCCCUACCUUCUCUGCCUCAUGGGGACGAAUCUGGGACCCGAAUCCCAGCCCGGGCUCCCGACGGCGGGUGUGGCUUCCUCAGUGGCGUCCCGGGCAGGCGGCGUCUCAGGUCCGCGUCCCCUGCUCCCUUUGAGCCUGUAGAAGUGUAGGGAGAUGAGCCUCUCUCUGACUCUUUGAAUUGAUUUUUGUUUUGUCUCUGGUGCUCCACCAUUUAAAUGAGGCGCUCAGGUAACUCACAGAGACUUUAACCAGGACCCAGGGAGCUCGCACAGAUUUGCAUAAUGAGGCUCACAGAGAUGCAAAUUUGCAGAAACUUUACAAUGCAACGCUCAGAUUUGCACACUGAGGCGCUCAGAUGCUCUGGCGCCACCCAGUGGCCACAGGACGUCAUGCAACCUUGCGAUUGUUUAUUGUUGGUUUUCUUCAAAGACGAGGUAUUUUUCUUUUCUCUAAUUAUCUUCACUUCUAAUUAUCUUUACUUAACAGAGAGACAGACAGAGAGACAGGGAGACAGAGAGACAGACAGACAAACAGACAGAGAGACAGGUUUAAAUUAGGGUGCAGAGAAACUCGUGCAGGUUUAAAUUAGAAGCCGCAAAGCUCGUGGAGAUAGAAUGUCCCUGAGAUAUUGGAGAUUUUUUUGAAGAUUUGGCAUUUAUUUUUCUUUUCAGUUUUAAUUUUAAUUUUAAUUUUUGUAUUUUUGACUGUUUAAUAUUUUUAUUUUGUAAUUUUUAAUAAACAUUCCAAUUUUGGGAGGUUUUUGUCAAUGCUUUAUAUUUUUUCUAAUUAUUUUUUUUUAAUUUUAUCUUUACAAAUCUUUAAAAAAUUUUUAUUAUUUGGUUUUUAGGCACAGGUGUUUUGAUUUCUGAUGGUGUUUUGGAUUUCUUCCGGAUCUGUUGUUAUGUCUCCCUUUUCAGUUCUGAUUUUGUUCAUUAGGAUUUUGUCCCUGUGCCCUCUAGUGAGUCUGGCUAAGGGUUUAUCUAUCCUGUUGAUUUUCUCAAAGAACCAGCUCCUCGUUUGGUUAAUUCCUUGAAUAGUUCUUCUUGUUUCCACUUGGUUGAUUUCCCCCCUGAGUUUGAUUAUUUCCUGCCAUCUGUCUACUCCUCUUGGGGGAGUUUGCUUCCUUUUUUCUAGAGCUUUUAGAUGUGUUGUCAAGCCGCUAUUGCCGUAUUUUUAUUGUUGUUUUCAUUCAAGACUAGGUAUUUUUCUUUUUGCGACUUAUCUUCACCUUUUAUUUUUGAGUGUGAAAUUCAAGGUUUAAUUUAGAACCUGGGAAUGUGUGCAGGUUUAAAUCAGGAUGCAGGCGAACUCGUGUGGGAUUAAAUUAGGAAUCAGGGAAUCUGUGCAGGUUUAAAUUAGGAUGCAGGGAAUCUGUUUUUUGGUUUUUAUCCAAGAUCUGUGUUCUCUGUGCUUCACCGUGAGACUUUGGCUCUGGUGCCACCCAGUGGCGACAGGACGUGAGUGCAGGCUUGCAAUUUUUUAUUGAUGUUUUUAUUCAAGACUAGGUAUUUUUCUUUUCUCUAAUUAUCUUCACCUUCUAUUUUUGAGUGUGAAAUUAAAGGUUUAAUUUAGAACCCAGUAAUUUGUGCGGGUUUAAAUUAGAACCCGCAAAACUCGUGGAGAUAGAAAGUCACUACGAUAUUUGAGUUUUAUUUGAAGAUUUGUCAUUUUUCUUUUCAGUUUUAAUUUUAAUUUUUAUUUUUGUAUUUUUGACUGUUGAACAUUUUAAUUUUGUAAUUUUUAACCCCCGAGACACCCGUGCUCGCGAAACUUGGUUUUUUCCCCAAUUAUUCUUAUUUUAGUUUAGUUUUUACUUUUAGUUUAUUUUUAGGUUUUUAGAGAAAGGGUUUCUCUAAGCUCGCUCUGUAGAGCAGGCUGGCCUGGGACUCAGAGAUCCACCUGGCUCUGUCUCUGGAGGGUAGGUAGGGAUUAGAGGCCUGGUGGCUUUGGGACAGACUUGGUUUCUCUCUGCCACCACGCCCGGGUUUUUACCAGGGAACUUGUAGGUUUAAAUCAGCACCUUGGAAACUCUGUGCAGGUUUAAAUUAGGAAUCAGGGAAUCUGUGCAGGUUUAAAUUAGGAAUCAGGGAAUCUGUGCAGGUUUAAAUUUGAACCCGUGAAACUCAUGGAGAUAGAACGUCACUGCAACAUUUGUGAUUUUUUUUUCAAACCCUUGAGAAGAGUUU